rnacentral:rRNA from 1 species
CCCUUAGAUGUUCUGGGCCGCACGCGUGCUACACUGAGUGGAUCAGCGGGUCAGGUUACGCGAGAGCGGUUCCUAAUCUUCAAAUCCGCUCGUGAUGGGGAUUGACGGUUGCAAUUUUCCGUCAUGAACGAGGAAUACCUUGUAAGCGCGGGUCAUCAUCCCGCGCUGAAUACGUCCCUGCCCUUUGUACACACCGCCCGUCGCUCCUACCGAUUGAGUGGUCCGGUGAGGCUUUGGGAUCUAAGCGAAAAGAGCGUUUCGCUCCUUUUGCUGGGAGAACUCAGUCGAACCUUAUCAUUUAGAGGAAGGAGAAGUCGUAACA